UACGAAGGGUGCAAGCGUUACUCGGAAUCACUGGGCGUAAAGCGUGCGUAGGCGGUUCGUUAAGUCUGCUGUGAAAGCCCUGGGCUCAACCUGGGAACUGCAGUGGAUACUGGCGGACUAGAGUGUGAUAGAGGAUGGUGGAAUUCCCGGUGUAGCGGUGAAAUGCGUAGAGAUCGGGAGGAACACCAGUGGCGAAGGCGGCCCAUCUGGAUCAAGCCACGUGACGCUGAGGCACGAAAGCGUGGGGAGCAAACAGG
rnacentral:rRNA from 1 species